rnacentral:rRNA from 1 species
GUAGUCUGCAACUCGACUACAUGAAGCUGGAAUCGCUAGUAAUCGCGAAUCAGAGUGUCGCGGUGAAUACGUUCCCGGGUCUUGUACACACCGCCCGUCACACCAUGGGAGUCAGUAACGCCCGAAGUCAGUGACCGAACCUGAGAGGGAAGGAGCUGCCGAAGGCGGGACGGAUAACUGGGGUGAAGUCGUAACAAGGUAAC